GCUUCAGUGGUGCAAUAGGUUAGCACGCACCCUGUAAAGUGUGAGAUACAGGUUCGAGCCCUGCCCGAAGUU